UAUAAUUUUUGACUCUUCGUCUUAAUCAAAUUUUUUUUGUGAUUGUUAUUUUUAUUUUUUUAGAUGAUAAAUCAUGAAUAAUACUUUACGUGUGACUAAUUUUUUUCUAAUUUUCUGAAAAUUUUUUAAAUAAGACGAAUGGUUAAACGUUGGGCACUUAAACC
rnacentral:pre_miRNA from 1 species